CUUUACUGUCAAUGCAAAGGUUCUCAUGGUGUAAAAACCAUGGGAUUAAUAGGGAAUCAGGUGUAAUUCCUGAACAGUCCCAGCUGCUGUAAACCCAUUUUUAGGUUUGCUGAAUUUUGCCACUGCCCCGAAUUAUGUCGGGAUGGGAAGGCUCAGUAAAACCGGGAAAGUCAGAAGACCUGCCUUUGUUUUUGAACACUA
rnacentral:ncRNA from 2 species